GGUACACAGGGAAUAAAAGGCGAGAGAGGAGAGAAGGGUCUACAAGGUGUAUCAGGAACUAAAGGGGACCGAGGUGACAGGGGCUCAGAUGGUAGUCCUGGCAAGUGCAAACCUUGUACGUGCCCUUCUGGCCCACCUGGCCCACCCGGCCCACCGGGCCCACCAGGCCCACCAGGUCUCUCCGGCAAAG